AGCUUAUAUUUCCUUACUUAAAUACGCCUGAAAAACCAGGAAAAAUAAUAAAACAGCACAAAAUUGAA
rnacentral:tRNA from 1 species